AUUGAACGCUGGCGGCAGGCCUAACACAUGCAAGUCGAACGAGUGGCGGACGGGUGAGCUAUGUCUGGGCCACUGCCUGGUGGAGGGGGUUCACUACUGGACACGGUUGCUACUUACGUAUUCCUUCACCUGUGCCCCGAUGGGUUUAGCUAGUGGGUGGGGUAACGGCUCACAAAGGCGACGAUCCCUAGCUGGUCUGAGAGGAUGACCAGCCACACUGGAACUGAGACACGGUCCAGACUCCUACGGGAGGCAGCAGUGGGGAAUAUUGCACAAUGGGCGCAAGCCUGAUGCAGCCAUGCCGCGUGUAUGAAGAAGGCCUUCGGGUUGUAAAGUACUUUCAGCGGGGAGGCGUUACCCGCAGAAGAAGCACCGGCUAACUUCGUGCCAGCAGCCGCGGUAAUAC
rnacentral:rRNA from 1 species